rnacentral:rRNA from 1 species
AACGAACGCUGGCGGCAUGCUUAACACAUGCAAGUCGAACGAGACCUUCCGGUCUUGUUGCGGACGUGGGCGUACCGCGGGGGAACCUGCCCUUAGGUUCGGAAUACCUCCCCGUAAGGGGUGCUAAUACCGGUGAAUCUCUUCGGACCAAAGAUUUAUCGCCUUUGGAUGGGCCCGGGUUGGAUUAGCUGGUUGGUAGGGUCAAACCCUAUCAAGGCGUCGUUGCGUAGCUGGUCGGUGAGGAGGAUACGCCGCGCUGGGGCUGUGACACGGACCCGACUCCUACGGAAGAGAGCAGUAGGGAAUACAGGACGAUGAGCGAUAGUCUGAUCAAGCAGUGCCGCGUGAGUGAUGAAGGCCUUAGGGUUGUAAAGCUCUUUUACCCGGGAUGAUAAUGACAGUACCGGGAGAAUAAGCUCCGGCUAACUCCGUG